rnacentral:lncRNA from 1 species
GCUACGCCUCGUUAGGGCACCGUUGGCAUUUACAUUGCUGGAGACGUUGCCAAGGGAAGGGUUACGUUGACCAGGAAGUGACAUUUGGCGGGAAAGGAUGGCGGGAGGCGCUGCUGGGCAGCAGCAAAAGAUGCGGGAUUUUGUCUCCGGGAUUUUCCAGGGAAGCCCCGAUCUCAGGUUGAUCAACCCCCAAGCAAUGUAGCGUUAAGGACUGAAGCCCAGGAUUCAAUCAACCACAAGAGACCCCUUCAUAUGUCCCAUAGUUCGGAGGAUGAGAUUAAAAACGAAAAGAAGCAGAAAAGGCAAAAGAUUGAAAAGAAGUUAGGUAAUUGUAUUUUUAUGUGAUGGUGCUUAGGACGUACUAUCCAAUACAUCACUGUUUUUUGAAUUGGGAGAAACUAAAUAUAAACUG